rnacentral:RNase_P_RNA from 1 species
CGGGCUGGCCGGGCGAUCGCGUCGUAGAGAUACGUCGAGGAAAGUCCGGGCUCCACAGGACAGGGUGGUGGCUAACGGCCACCCGGGGUGACCCGCGGGACAGUGCCACAGAGAACAGACCGCCUCUACC